rnacentral:rRNA from 1 species
CGCAUCUGUGCAUGCAGCAUAUCAAUAAGCGGAGGAAAAGAAACUAACAAGGAUUCCCCUAGUAACGGCGAGUGAAGCGGGAAGAGCUCAAAUUUGAAAUCUUAAAGGGUUUCCCUUUACGAAUUGUAGUUUAAAGAAGUGUUUUCUGUUGAGGUUUUGGUAAAAGUUCUUUGGAAUAGGACAUCAUAGAGGGUGAGAAUCCCGUAUUUGACCUUUACUUUCAACUUUGCGAUACACUUUCAAAGAGUCGGAUUGUUUGGGAAUGCAGUCCGAAAUGGGUGGUAAAUUUCAUCUAAAGCUAAAUAUUGGCGAGAGACCGAUAGCGAACAAGUACCGUGAGGGAAAGAUGAAAAGAACUUUGAAAAGAGAGUUAAACAGUACGUGAAAUUGUCAAAAGGGAAGCGUUUGACACCAGUGUUGUUUUUCUGAAAAUCAAUUAAAGAACUGUUUAUGCUAAGCUGUUUAGACUUUAUCAGCUAACUGUUUAGUUUUGAGCUUUUCUUUAAUGCACUUUUCAGUUAACAAGUCAACAUCAAUUUCUUUUGCUGUAAAAAAGCUUGAGGAAGGUGGCUUGAGAUUCGUCUUAAGUGUUUAUAGCCUCUUGCCUAUGCAGUCGGAGAGAUUGAGGUCUGCAGCGUAGAUCCUUCGGGGCUAAAUGCAUUUGUGCUAAGUUAUAGCAUUUUAUAGACAACCUGUUGACUAUGAUUUGUCUUGUAGCUUACUCGCUUAUGUUAUUUUACCUACGCUUAGGAUGUUGAAUCUGUGCGAGACUA